GUUUUGCAACUCCUGGUUAUAUCAGGAAUUAUACUAGGAACACCAGGAGGAAUUGUCUACCUAAGCCCUUUAUCGAAUGAGAAGGUAGAAGUUCUCAUUAAGAAACCCAUAAACUCAGAAGCUGGCAACCUUGGUAUUUGGCAGUGGGAUGCCAGUCAGGUUUUCGUGUUCUGGGAAUUUGUGUUUGGCCUGUAGCUUUUAAUUAUUUUUAUGAACUAGGGAAUAAUGAAUACAUUUGUAAUAUAUUGAAAAAAACCCUCCAACACUGGCUGACCAAAAAAUAGAUUUAUAUGAUAAUUCUUAAACACCAAUUCUAUUACUCAAUGCUAGGCAGAAUGAAAAUAGAAUACUGAACCUUAUUACUGAGAGAGCAGAGUAUAAUCAAAGCUGGUAGAAUUAAUACUGUUUAAUUAUUAGCAAUACGCCUCACCCGGAGAACACAUAUUCAUCACUAAUCAGAAUAUUUUAGGCUCUUGUCUGAGGGGAGGGACAUAGUAGAGAGUACAAAGCAUGAUGAGCCCUAAAGAAUGAAAUUAGGAAAAAUGUGACAUAGAGACAUUUGAUGAUGGUCUUUCAUAAUAUGGGUUAUGGUGAUGUGAAAGGAGAAUAAACCUUAUUAACUGUGGCAGUAGGUAAGAUGGGGAGGUGGGGGUUGAAGUGCCAAGGUAGGGCCGGCCAUAGGAAAGAACAACCCCCAACUAUGUGAGUUGCUGAGAGUGUCUCGAAGAGAGUAGUAGACAAGGCCUGUGAUCCCAGGCUUUCCCAGUGUCUGAAUGUGAUACCUGAGCAAUGACUGACCUAGAUGACCUUGCCGGAGUGGCUAUUUGUAUCUGGUAUCAGGCAAAUGUAAUGCAUCAUUAAGAGUGUGGGUUCCUGAGCCAACUCACCUGGAUUCAAAUCCUGGCUCCGAUGUUUAUUAUCCAAGUGACAUUAAGUAACUUACUCAAGUUUCCCAUGCUUCAGUUUCCCUAUCUGUAAAAUGGAGAUAAACUUCCUUAUAAGACUGUUGUGAGAGUUAGUUAAGCUGAUAUAUAUAACAUGUUUAUAUCCUGAAGCAUGGUAAAGGCACAGUUAGUGUCGAGCUAUUAUUUUAAACUCUCAAACUUGUCCACACUGAGCCCCCAGCAAUUCAUCAAUUAUAGUUUGGCUUUUCCUGUUAUGGGACCAUCUCUGCUUCCCACAGAAGUAUCUGUUUAUGAGUCUCUGUCCUGGUAAGUUGGGAUUCAUGUUUUGCCUGUCCGUGUCUAAUUCUGGUGUCAGUGGUUUUUCCUAUGACCUUAAUUCUCUGAUGACUCUAAAAAUAUAUGUUAAUUUUCUGUUUGGCUGUUUUGCUUGUGUUAGGAUGGGAGUGACAAGUUCUGAGCUCCUUAAAUGAUGGGAGUGACAACUUCCAAGCUCCUUAAGUGCUGGACUGGACACCCAGAGAUCACAUUAUUUAUAUCAUUAGAGUUGAAGGUGUCCGGCUGCUCAAUCAGUACGUAUUGAUUAAACUAAACUGUGCAAUACUUUAUAGAGAUGCAAUACUGCAGACAAGACAGUUCUCCAAAGAAGUUCAUGAACUGGUUGGGGAACUAGGAUAGAGACUAAAAUGAUAGCAAACAAUGCUGGGUGAAUUUUUAGAGAAUCAGAGUUGUACAGCUAUGUGUCACGUAACAACGUUUAGGUCAAUGACAAACCACAUACACGAUGCUGGUCCCAUAAAAUUAUAAUAGAGCUGAAAAAUCUCUAUCACCUUGUGACAUCGUAGCCAUCAUGAAAUCUUAGCAUAAUGCGUUGUGCUAAGAUGUGUUUGUGGUGAUGCUGGUGUAAACAAACCUACUGUGGUACCAGUUGCAUAAAAGUCUAGGAUAUAUGAGUGUGUGUGAUACACAGUAUUUGAUAAUGAUCAUAGAUUGAUACUGUUUUAUGUGUUUACUAUACUUUUAAUCAUUCUUUUAAAGUGUUCUCAUUCUACUAAUGAAAAAAAGUUAACUGUAUAAUAGCCUCAGGCGGAUUCUGCAGGAGGUCUUCCAGAAGAAGGGGUUGUUAUCAUAGGAGAAGACAGCUCCAUGCCUGUUAGGGCCCCUGAAAACCUUCCAGUGGGACAAGGUGUGGAGGUAGAAGACUGAUAUUGAUGAUCCUGACCCUGUGUAGACCUAGGACAAUGAGUGUGUUUAUGUCAUAAUUUUUAACAAAAAAGUUUAAAAAGUAAAGUAAAAUAAAAAUAGAAAAAAGGUAAAGUCUUCGUGUACAGUAACGUCCUAGGCCUUCACAUUCACUCACUACUCACUCACUGGCUCACCCAGAGCAACUUCCAGUCUCAAAAGCUCUAUUCAUGGUAAGUGCCCUACCGUUUUUUACCUUUUAAAAAAACUUUUAUACUGUAUUUUUCCCAUAUCUUUUCAGUGCUUAGAUAUGUUUAGCUACACAAAACUUGGUCUUGUGCUACAAUUGCCUACAGUGUUCAGUACAGUCACAUGCUGUACGGGUUUGUAGUCUAGGAGCAAUUGGCUCCCCCACAUAGCCUAGGUGUGUAGUAGGCUACACCACCUAAAUCUGCGUAAGUGCACUCUACGAUGUUUGCACAAUGAUGACAUUGCCUAACAAUGCGUUUCGCAGAACGUAUCCCUGUCAUUAAGGGAUGCAUGACUAUGUAUAAGCAGAGGAGAGUGAGGUGGGUGGGGAUGGCUUUCAUGUGCAAGGGAAAAUAAUACAAUUAAAAAAUAACCUGAGUGAUAAUACAAAUAAUAUAGGUAAAAAUAUGGAAGUAGAAAGCAUAAAGCCUGUGGGCUGUUGGGGGCAGUGCUCAGGCCAGCUCACCUCAGGGAAGAGAGCAGGCAGGCUGGGACUUGAAUGUGGAGAGUCUCUAAUGUUCUCCAAAGAACCUUCGGUUUUUCUCUCAGAGUAAGGUUGAAGGUUUCUGAGCAGGAUGGUGAUGAUUUAUAGGUAGCACUUUGAGGAAUAGUAAAGGAAGUGGGAUAUAGGAACCAGACUGAAAGCUUAUAGUAGAGUAUACUUGAUGUGUUAAGAGUCCUAUGUGGAGUGGGAAGUACAUACAUGGAAAGUUAAUUUAUAAUUGUAAUUAAUGUAUCUAAAGUACAUGGGAACUGAAAUGCAAGAUGAUUUUUUGUAUUAUAUCCUGGAACAGAAGAAAGAACAUUAGUGGAAAAACUGGGAAAUCCAAAUAAAGCCUGCAGUUUGAUUAAUGCUGCUUUAUCAGUGUUAACUCGUUAGUUUUGAUAAAUAUACGACAGUUACCAUUAGGGAAUGCUUGGUGCAGAAUAUAUAGAAG
rnacentral:lncRNA from 10 species